rnacentral:rRNA from 1 species
UACGUAGGCGGCGAGCGUUAUCCGGAAUUACUGGGCGUAAAGCGUACGCAGGCGGCUUCUUAAGUCUGACGUGAAAGCUCCCGGCUUAACUGGGAGAGGUCGUUGGAGACUGGGGGGCUUGAGGCGAUGAGAGGGGUGUAGAAUUCCAGGUGUAGUGGUGGAAUGCGUAGAUAUCGGGAGGAAUACCAGUGGCGAAAGCGACACCCUGGCAUAGGCCUGACGCUCAUGUAAGAAAGCGUGGGGAGCAAACGGG